UUUAAUUAAUUAUAUAUAAUUAUAUAUAUUGAAGGAAUUUUUAUUAGAUUCGAUUAAAUAAACAGAUAAUCGAGUAUAUAAAAGAGUUGUUAACCUUCAUAUCCACUUGUGCCAAAGGCAUUCUUGUUUCUGCCAACCAACCCAGCAGAUCCUCCAGUUUUCCAUCGGUACCAGGUUAGAAUCAACCCAACGCUACCAUUGGGACCCACCCGUUGGCUCCGCCUUUUCUGCCUUUCUCUCGCCACAACACGGGUACCCCAGCGGGUAGCGAAUGAUAAAUCUCCAUCACCCUUCCUCGCUUUCAAUUCUUUUUUCUUCGACGAUUUGAUUCGCUUUUCAAAUCGCAUCCCUUCUCCAUUGACGGAUCUCCCGAUCCAGAACGGCCGGCGUCCGACGAUGGCCACCCGGUGAGUGAGUUCUAUCUCCCCUUCUCCCUCUCCGCUCGCGAUUCGACUUGUCGAUCUCUGGACGCAGCGGUUUAUCGAUCUUUUCCUAUCCUUGUUCUCUCUCUUCUCUUUCUGGAUGCAACAAUGGGGGAAUCGGUCGAUAAACCUCUGCAUCCGGACUUCCGCAUCCUCCUCCCUCUUCUUUUUUUUCUUGAUUUAUCCGUUUGAUUAUUUGGAUCUUGCGAGGGGGAUGCGUUGUUCUUGCAAUCUGAACUUGCAGAUCCACUGGCACUGUGAUUGAUGCGGAGUCGGUUGGAAAUUUGUCUGGUCCUUGCGGCUGUUCGGUACUUUCGAACCUGAUGAUUGUUAGCCUGAGCUUGAAUCAGCAAUUGACAUUCACAAACGGGAUCCAAGGUAAAGCUGGUCUGCAAUCAAUGCUACAGAAGACAAUGGGACAAGUGAGACAAGAAGCAUUGACCAGUGAGCCAGCUCGGGACCACGACAACACAACCCGAAGAUAUUCCAAUUUAGUUUCCGCAUUAACUUAUGUCUUAAGAACCAUCUAUAUAAUUUCGUUGAAUUAA